CGGGGUGUAGCGCAGUUUGGUAGCGCACUUGGUUUGGGACCAAGGGGUCGCAGGUUCAAAUCCUGUCGCCCCGACCA
rnacentral:tRNA from 1 species